GAGCCCACCGCAGUCACAGUGACAGCCGGGCCGUGCAUCUUGAGGCAACAGAUUACCAUCAUGGUGUUGAAGGUAGAGCCAGCUGGCCUUGCUGGCUGACUCCAGGGCAUUGGAGGACACCAGAGCAUUGACCUGAGCCCCUGGCAGGUGCGGCUGUCAGCACUGGGACAAGGACAACGAAGGCUGCAAGUCAAGAACUCUGCGCUG
rnacentral:lncRNA from 1 species